rnacentral:rRNA from 1 species
UACGAAGGGGCUAGCGUUGCUCGGAAUCACUGGGCGUAAAGGGUGCGUAGGCGGGUCUUUAAGUCAGGGUGAAAUCCUGGAGCUCAACUCCAGAACUGCCUUUGAUACUGAGGAUCUUGAGUUCGGGAGAGGUGAGUGGAACUGCGAGUGUAGAGGUGAAAUUCGUAGAUAUUCGCAAGAACACCAGUGGCGAAGGCGGCUCACUGGCCCGAUACUGACGCUGAGGCACGAAAGCGUGGGAGCAAACAGGG